AAUAAACGCAGUCGUAGGUUUCAGUGCCCAACUUUGACCAUCCGUCUUAUUUGAAAUAUUUUUAUGAUUGGUAUUUUUACUGUUAUUAAAUGAUAAAAUAUGAAUAGUAUUUUAUGCGUGACUAAACUUUUAAAAUUUUUUCAUAAAUUUUUUAAAUAAGAUGGACAGUCAAACGUUGGUACGGAAACUUAUGGCUGCACUUAUA
rfam:Oryza glaberrima chromosome 9 Oglab09_0141_6, whole genome shotgun sequence.